CCCUCUCCAAGUCCAAGAAGAUGAAAAUGGAUUUCAGCUUGAUGAAGUUCUACGUUCUUCUAAUUGCAUCGUCGUAUCAUUUCCAAACCGGAGAUGGUAGAACUAUAAAUAUCAUGGAAAUUAAGCACAAGAAUGAGAGUGGAGCCGCUGAUUAUUCUCAAGUGUUUAAAGAUGCAUGGGAGGAGUUAUGCCACUCAAAGUCGGAUGGCGUACCAACUCUCUACGUACCGGAGAACGCAGCGGUUACCUUACAUUC